rnacentral:rRNA from 1 species
GAUGAACGCUAGCGGCAGGCUUAAUACAUGCAAGUCGAGGGGCAGCAGGUCCCGCAGCAAUGCGGGAUGCUGGCGACCGGCAAACGGGUGCGGAACACGUACACAACCUUCCUUUAAGCGGGGAAUAGCCCGGGGAAACCCGGAUUAAUACCCCAUAGUAUAUUGAAGAGGCAUCUCUUUAUUAUUAAAGAUUUAUUACUUGAAGAUGGGUGUGCGGCUGAUUAGGUAGUUGGCGGGGAACGGCCCACCAAGCCUACGAUCAGUAACUGGUGUGAGAGCACGACCAGUCACACGGGCACUGAGACACGGGCCCACUCCUACGGGAGGCAGCAGUAAGGAAUAUUGGU